UACGUAGGGCGCAAGCGUUAUCCGGAAUUAUUGGGCGUAAAGAGCUCGUAGGCGGUUUGUCGCGUCUGCCGUGAAAGUCCGGGGCUCAACUCCGGAUCUGCGGUGGGUACGGGCAGACUAGAGUGAUGUAGGGGGAGACUGGAAUUCCUGGUGUAGCGGUGAAAUGCGCAGAUAUCAGGAGGAACACCGAUGGCGAAGGCAGGUCUCUGGGCAUUAAACUGACGCUGAGGAGCGAAAAGCAUGGGGGAGCGAACAGG
rnacentral:rRNA from 1 species